rnacentral:rRNA from 1 species
AUUGAACGCUGGCGGCAGGCCUAACACAUGCAAGUCGAACGGUAGCACAGAGAGCUUGCUCUCGGGUGACGAGUGGCGGACGGGUGAGUAAUGUCUGGGAAACUGCCCGAUGGAGGGGGAUAACUACUGGAAACGGUAGCUAAUACCGCAUAACGUCGCAAGACCAAAGUGGGGGACCUUCGGGCCUCACACCAUCGGAUGUGCCCAGAUGGGAUUAGCUAGUAGGUGGGGUAAUGGCUCACCUAGGCGACGAUCCCUAGCUGGUCUGAGAGGAUGACCAACCUCCCUGGAACGGAGACACGGUCCAGACUCCUACGGGAGGCAGCAGUGGGGAAUAUUGCACAAUGGGCGCAAGCCUGAUGCAGCCAUGCCGGGUGUAUGAAGAAGGCCUUCGGGGUGUAAAGUACUUUCAGCGGGGAGGAAGGCGGUGAAGUUAAUAACUUCACCGAUUGACGUUACACGCAGAAGAAGCACCGGCUAACUCCGUGCCAGCAGCCGCCGUAA